rnacentral:lncRNA from 1 species
UGGCUGACUGAGGUUGACCAGUUGCCUGUUUCUUUUCUCUCUUUAACAGAGUUCUCAGUUCCAUACACGGAUAGAACUUUUUGCCUACCACUUAAAGUUAGAAUCGAUCAACACGUUCAGUUAAUUCCAAUGCAACUUUCAAAGUGUGAUCCAUGGAUUAGGCUAAUCACCCAUGUUCCACAGGGUGCUUUUCUCCAGCCACUUACCUACUGAGAUGGUGACUUCCUCAGCUCACCCACCUGCACUGACUGUAUUUCUGUAUUUGUAUGUUAAGAGCUGAGUUUGGUUCCCCAAGCUCUUCCUCUCAGCUUUAUUGAAAAAGUAUCACUGUUUACAAUCAGUGCACGAUGAAGCCUCUAAACAGGGCUCAGAUGUUUGGAAAUUUAUUGGCCUGUCAAAGCUCUGCCAGAGCAUCCUAUAGAGUCCAUUUUUUUUUUUUCUUGGAAAACUUUGGCUUGGAAUAAAACAUAUUCUUUAGGUUCCCAUCUUGGAAAGAACCAGAGUGGAGAUAAAUAUGUUAGUGCAAUGAAACAUGGUUAGUAGCACUCAGCAUCACUGUGUGAGGACCAUCUGCAGCAAAUGGAGAGCCCAUGCACUGCAUGAGGGGAGCAGCUACUGCUCCUCAGUUUAGCUGAUCGAAGUGUGGACCCAGUGUGGCCAGAACUCCACGUUUUUCAAUAGAAGCUAAAGUCAGAACUUUUAUGUGCA